rnacentral:rRNA from 1 species
CAAAAAGCGGAAAAGAAAAUAACUAUGAUUCCCUUAGUAACGGCGAGUGAACAGGGAAAAGCCCAAAUUUGUAAUCUGGCACUUUUUACAAGUGUCCGAGUUGUAAUUUGUAGAACUGUUAUCCGYGCUGGACCAUGUACAAGUCUGUUGAAAAGCAGCAUCAUUGAAGGUGAAAAUCCUGUAGAUGAUAUGGACUACCAGUGCAUUUGUGAUACGGUUUCUAAGAGUCGAGUUGUUUGGGAAUGCAGCUCAAAGUGGGUGGUAAAUUCCAUCUAAGGCUAAAUAUAAGUGAGAGACCGAUAGCAAACAAGUACCGUGAGGGAAAGAUGAAAAGAACUUUGAAAAUAGAGUUAACAGUACGUGAAAUUGCUGAAAGGGAAACGUUUGAAGUUAGUUUUGUAUUCGUUGGAUCAGCUUCGCAAGGAGUGUAUUCUGAUGAUAAGCAAGUCAACAUCAAUCUAUGAGUGUCGGAGAAGGGUUUUGAGAAUGUAGCAAUUUUUAUUAAUUGUGUUAUAGCUUGAGACUUGGAUACGAUGCUUUGGAUUGAGGAACGCGUAGUAAGCUUUGAGCGGAUUCGAAAGGAUCUCCUUACUAUGGAUGUUG